GACGAACGCUGGCGGCGUGCUUAACACAUGCCAGUCGAACGGAAAGGCCCUUCGGGGUACUCGAGUGGCGAACGGGUGAGUAACACGUGGGUGAUCUGCCCUGCACUUUGGGAUAAGCCUGGGAAACUGGGUCUAAUACCGAAUAGGACCACGCGCUUCAUGGUGUGUGGUGGAAAGCUUUUGCGGUGUGGGAUGGGCCCGCGGCCUAUCAGCUUGUUGGUGGGGUAAUGGCCUACCAAGGCGACGACGGGUAGCCGGCCUGAGAGGGUGACCGGCCACACUGGGACUGAGAUACGGCCCAGACUCCUACGGGAGGCAGCAGUGGGGAAUAUUGCACAAUGGGCGCAAGCCUGAUGCAGCGACGCCGCGUGAGGGAUGACGGCCUUCGGGUUGUAAACCUCUUUCAAUAGGGACGAAGCGCAAGUGACGGUACCUAUAGAAGAAGCACCGGCCAACUACGU
rnacentral:rRNA from 1 species